UCAGCUCCCUGGGACACACACUGCCGCUGGGGAGGAAGGACGGCACCUUCAGCUCCCUGGGACACACACUGCCGCUGGGGAGGAAGGACGACACCUUCAGCUCCCUGUAAUACACACUGCCACUGGGGAGGAGGGACGACACCUUUGGCUCCCUGUAACUCACUCGGCUGCUGGGGAGGAAGGACGGCACCUUUGGCUCCCUGUAACUCACUCUGCC